rnacentral:rRNA from 1 species
CCUACGGGAGACAGCAGUAGGGAAUCUUUCACAAUGGGCGAAACCCUGAUGGAGCAACGCCGCGUGAGGGAAGAAGGCCUUCGUGUUGUAAACUUCUAUCAUAAGCGAGGAAAAUGAUGGUAACUGAUGAAUAAGCCUCGGCUAACUACGUGCCAGCAGCCGCGGUAAUACGUAGGAGGCGAGCAUUAUCCGGAUUUACUGGGUGUAAAGAGUGGCGUAGGAGGGAUAAGAAUUUGUGAGUGAAAACCGGUGGUCCAAACAGUCAGACUAUUUGAGAAACUGUUAAGCUCGAGAGCGUUAGAGGUAAGUGGAAUUCCUAGUGUAGGAGUGAAAUCCGUAGAUAUUAGGAGGAACACCAGUAGCGAAGGCAGGUUACUGGGAUGGUUCUGACGCUGAGGCACGAAGGCGUAGGGAGCAAACGGGAUUAGAUACCCGAGUAGUC